GGCUCCCACUCUGGACGAACUUCUUCAGCAGCUCGGAGGGGCUGCCGGCCAGAAUCACGUCGUAGCUGGGGGAGGAAGAGGGGCCUGAGCAGGACAGCCACUAGGAACCUCGGAAACGCCGGUAUCCUUCCGUCUUGGCUGUGGCCACCGUGAUCACCAGCAGCUUCUCUGUCACCAGCCGGGAAUUGGCGCUCGGGACCCGCUCACCCAGCUCACUGCCCCACGAGUUCCGCUCACCGCAGGCCCCCUUGCCCUCCCUCCGACUCUGCCCCUGUCCUUCUAUUAUUUUUAUUUUUAUUUUUCCGAUUCCCUCUUAAACUCUUCUCAACCAAAA